AAGAUUUAAAGGAAAUCUGGAAACGCUGACUUACAGGCACACUCCUUGUCCUGCAGGUGUGCCCCGCGGGACCCUCUCCCCACAGGCGGGAUCCCCUGCUUCGCCGUGAAACCUCCCCGAACGGGAGGAGCGCCCGCUGUUUGAGCAGCUGGCACCAGGAGGAACAAGACAGGCAAGUCCUCGCUUCCUGGACCCAGUGUAGAGAGGACAGAGAAGCGAAGGAACAGCCCCGAGGGAGGUUUGGCUGUUGGCCAUUCCAUACGGACGGGACCCUGCAGGAUAUGUGGGAUUUCUCUGCUGUCCCUUCUCUCACUCAGCAUCGUGGUUCUGAGGCGCACGCACGUCCCGUGUCAGCAUCUCGGUAGACACACCGCGUGCCGUGCACCCAUCCCCACUGACGACAUCACUGACGUCCUCCUUUGGAGACUGUGCCUCUGUCCUCUCUCAUCACAACCUUUCUUCCCCGAGGCCGGAGCCCAGGAGGAGCUGCAGAGGCCCCUGCUGAGGAAUUUCCCACCGUGCCGGGUGCCGGGUGCCGGGUGCCCGGUGCGGGUGCCAGGAUGAGCUGGCCGAGGAGCU